AGCCCUUCGGGGUGGAUUAGUGGCGAACGGGUGAGUAACACGUGGGCAAUCUGCCCUUCACUCUGGGACAAGCCCUGGAAACGGGGUCUAAUACCGGAUAAUACUCCUGCCUGCAUGGGCGGGGGUUGAAAGCUCCGGCGGUGAAGGAUGAGCCCGCGGCCUAUCAGCUUGUUGGUGGGGUAAUGGCCCACCAAGGCGACGACGGGUAGCCGGCCUGAGAGGGCGACCGGCCACACUGGGACUGAGACACGGCCCAGACUCCUACGGGAGGCAGCAGUGGGGAAUAUUGCACAAUGGGCGAAAGCCUGAUGCAGCGACGCCGCGUGAGGGAUGACGGCCUUCGGGUUGUAAACCUCUUUCAGCAGGGAAGAAGCGAAAGUGACGGUACCUGCAGAAGAAGCGCCGGCUAACUACGUGCCAGCAGCCGCGGUAAUACGUAGGGCGCAAGCGUUGUCCGGAAUUAUUGGGCGUAAAGAGCUCGUAGGCGGCUUGUCACGUCGGAUGUGAAAGCCCGAGGCUUAACCUCGGGUCUGCAUUCGAUACGGGCUAGCUAGAGUGUGGU
rnacentral:rRNA from 1 species